UACGAAGGGGGCUAGCGUUGUUCGGAAUUACUGGGCGUAAAGCGCACGUAGGCGGGUCGUUAAGUCAGGGGUGAAAGCCCGGAGCUCAACUCCGGAAUUGCCCUUGAUACUGGCGACCUUGAGUCCGAGAGAGGUAAGUGGAACUCCGAGUGUAGAGGUGAAAUUCGUAGAUAUUCGGAAGAACACCAGUGGCGAAGGCGGCUUACUGGCUCGGUACUGACGCUGAGGUGCGAAAGCGUGGGGAGCAAACAGG
rnacentral:rRNA from 2 species